rnacentral:rRNA from 1 species
GUAACACGUAGGCAACCUGCCCACAAGACAGGGAUAACUACCGGAAACGGUAGCUAAUACCCGAUACAUCCUUCUCCUGCAUGGGAGAAGGAGGAAAGACGGAGCAAUCUGUCACUUGUGGAUGGGCCUGCGGCGCAUUAGCUAGUUGGUGGGGUAAAGGCCUACCAAGGCGACGAUGCGUAGCCGACCUGAGAGGGUGAUCGGCCACACUGGGACUGAGACACGGCCCAGACUCCUACGGGAGGCAGCAGUAGGGAAUCUUCCGCAAUGGGCGAAAGCCUGACGGAGCAACGCCGCGUGAGUGAUGAAGGUUUUCGGAUCGUAAAGCUCUGUUGCCAGGGAAGAACGUCUUGUAGAGUAACUGCUACAAGAGUGACGGUACCUGAGAAGAAAGCCCCGGCUAACUACGUGCCAGCAGCCGCGGUAAUACGUAGGGGGCAAGCGUUGUCCGGAAUUAUUGGGCGUAAAGCGCGCGCAGGCGGCUCUUUAAGUCUGGUGUUUAAUCCCGAGGCUCAACUUCGGGUCGCACUGGAAACUGGGGAGCUUGAGUGCAGAAGAGGAGAGUGGAAUUCCACGUGUAGCGGUGAAAUGCGUAGAUAUGUGGAGGAACACCAGUGGCGAAGGCGACUCUCUGGGCUGUAACUGACGCUGAGGCGCGAAAGCGUGGGGAGCAAACAGGAUUAGAUA